UACACUCCUGCGGGAGACAGCAGUGGGGAAUAUUGGACAAUGGGCGCAAGCCUGAUCCAGCCAUGCCGCGUGAGUGAUGAAGGCCCUAGGGUUGUAAAGCUCUUUCACCGGUGAAGAUAAUGACGGUAACCGGAGAAGAAGCCCCGGCUAACUUCGUGCCAGCAGCCGCGGUAAUACGAAGGGGGCUAGCGUUGUUCGGAUUUACUGGGCGUAAAGCGCACGUAGGCGGACUAUUAAGUCAGGGGUGAAAUCCCGGGGCUCAACCCCGGAACUGCCUUUGAUACUGGUAGUCUUGAGUUCGAGAGAGGUGAGUGGAAUUCCGAGUGUAGAGGUGAAAUUCGUAGAUAUUCGGAGGAACACCAGUGGCGAAGGCGGCUCACUGGCUCGAUACUGACGCUGAGGUGCGAAAGCGUGGGGAGCAAACAGGAUUAGAUACCCGUGUAGUCC
rnacentral:rRNA from 1 species